AUGGCUGCGUCUUCCUGUCACUGUGCUCCCCCACGGCCCACCCCGGCACAUUGUGCAGCACUACAUUCUGUGAGUCUCUUCCAUUUCACAGCAAAAUUUCUAAUGAUAAGGUUACACUGUGCAAUUAUGAUAUCUAAAUUCCAAUUUAAAAUAAUUGGUAUUUUCUAUCCCCCCCAGGGGGCGGGGCGCACAAGCUCCCAGAAACAAGAGAUCGUGGUAUAUUUUCGCCAGUCCUCCCCGGAGGACCUCAGCCUGGCUCCUGGGAGACACCCCGAGGUACACACUGGCCCAUCUGUGAAGAGAGCCAUCCCAGCCUGAUGCUGUUUCCAUGACAUCAUAGUGGCCUGCAUGAUCACACAGGAUCUAAAGUCACAAAGCAACUGUUCAGGAAGAACUGAGCAGCUCACACACUUCUCUAGUUUUUUCCCACACUAGAGUUCAUGCCCUCCACAGAUGACUCUGGUCUCGAGACCCCAAACUUACAUUGAAAAAAAAAAAAAAUCAGUAACGAUGUUUCUCCUCCUUCCUCCUAAGAAACUCCACACAAUGUAGGCUCUCAUCAGUGACUCUUGCCAAGUGCCACAGAAUCUGACCUCCCAUGCCGGUUUUCCCUAUGAAGCCUUCCACAGGCCAUCUACAUGCUGUCAAGGGAGAGCUCUUCCAGAAGGCUCUUCAAAUGACACCCACAUGCAGUCCUGAGAUGUCCUCCUUGGUAAAGCAUGCCCUUUAUUUUACUGAAAUUGGCCUCCUCAAAUAUCUCUUAACAUGAGAUAAUAAGCAAGUCUCUUAGCAAGCUAAUGAGCAUCCAUUGCCCAGGAUGCUUGCUGUUUACUCCCUCCAUAUCUCCUAUCCCCUUGCCCUACAGCUUCAGCUGCUUCACCUCUGCUUGGGGUUACCUCUGCUCCCCAAAGAGCUCCCAUGACCCCUUGUCCCCAGAAAAGUCACGCUGACUAUGCAGCCAUUCCCUGCAGUAUCCUCUGUGAUUGGCAGUGUUAGGAUUUUGCAAAGCAUCUUCUUUGAAAGAGGGAACCCACUGUCAUUCAUGCAUAUGGGUAAAUUCUGCAUGUUUUGAGAGAGGGAGUUUGUUUCCUGCUGAUCUUGCAAACAAGAAAGCAUAAACAUGAAAGUGGUCUGCGCCUAUCACACAGAUACAAGAGAGUCGAACACGGGUGAAGGCUUGAAGGCCUUUGGUACCAAAAACUAACUGGUAAAACCCUGGAUGAGUCCAAAUGGGCCCAUUUUCAUGAAACUGUAGCAGAAUGAUUCUAGGCACUGAAGUCAGACACUGCCUUCCAAUCCCAGCCUGACUACUCCCUAA
rnacentral:lncRNA from 1 species